rnacentral:lncRNA from 1 species
GUGGUCACACCAUUCCGAUAAAGAGGCUACGUGGGAACGCGAGGAUCACCUCCGUUCCGAAUUUCCCGAUUUCUUUCAGUCCUAGAUCUCGAGGGCGAGAUCUUCUUUGUAGUGUGGGAGAGUUUGUAAUGCCCCAAGUGUAAAACCUACCCCUUUUUGGACCUACUUCAUGUGGGACCACCUUGUCAUUGAUAUGAGAGUGUCCUAUGCUUGGAUG